UACGAAGGGGGCUAGCGUUGUUCGGAAUUACUGGGCGUAAAGCGCACGCAGGCGGGUCGAUUAGGCAGAAGUGAAAGCCCCGGGCUCAACCUGGGAACUGCUUUUGAUACUGUCGAGCUUGAAUCACGGAGAGGGUAGUGGAAUUCCGAGUGUAGAGGUGAAAUUCGUAGAUAUUCGGAAGAACACCAGUGGCGAAGGCGACUACCUGGCCGUCGAUUGACGCUCAUGUGCGAAAGCGUGGGGAGCAAACAGG
rnacentral:rRNA from 1 species